AGUGGCGAACGGGUGAGUAACACGUUGGUGACCUGCCCCGAAGAGAGGGACAACCCCGGGAAACUGGGGCUAAUACCUCAUGUGCUCCAUGGUGUUAGAGGACCAUGGAGUAAAGGAGCAAUCCGCUUUGGGAGGGGCCUGCGGCCCAUCAGCUAGUUGGUAGGGUAACGGCCUACCAAGGCGACGACGGGUAGGGGGCCUGAGAGGGUGGUCCCCCACAAUGGCACUGAAACACGGGCCAUACGUCUACGGACGGCAGCAGUAGGGAAUAUUGCACAAUGGGCGAAAGCCUGAUGCAGCAACGCCGCGUGCGCGAUGAAGGCCUUCGGGUUGUAAAGCGCUUUUCUGGGGGAAGAGGAAGGACUGUACCCCAGGAAUAAGUCUCGGCUAACUACGUGCCAGCAGCCGCGGUAAAACGUANGAGGCAAGCGUUAUCCGGAUUUACUGGGCGUAAAGCG
rnacentral:rRNA from 1 species